AACGAACGCUGGCGGCAUGCCUAACACAUGCAAGUCGAACGAGACCUUCGGGUCUAGUGGCGCACGGGUGCGUAACGCGUGGGAACCUGCCCUUAGGUUCGGAAUAACUCCCCGAAAGGGGUGCUAAUACCGGAUAAUGUCUUCGGACCAAAGAUUUAUCGCCUUUGGAUGGGCCCGCGUUGGAUUCGCUAGUUGGUAGGGUAAAAGCCUACCAAGGCGACGAUCCAUAGCUGGCCUGAGAGGAUGAUCAGCCACACUGGGACUAAGACACGGCCCAGACUCCUACGGGAGGCAGCAGUGGGUAAUAUUGGACAGUGGGCGAAGGCCUGAUCCAGCAGUGCCGCGUGAGUGAUGAUGGCAUUAGGGUUGUAAAGCUCUUUUACCCGGGAUGAUAAUGACAGUACCGGGAGAAUAAGCACCGGCUAACUCCGUG
rnacentral:rRNA from 1 species